AGAGCACAAUAAAACACACCUGCGCUAAUUAAUUAGCCGCUAUCUUGCCUUGUUUCUUCAGUAAUGGCCUCCUGGAUAAAACGUAGGGAAGUCGCCCUCUUUUCCAUCACUUUUCUGUCUUUUUGUGGUGCUUCUUUCGCUGAAAAUAACGACGUGGAAACUCGGGAGAGUCUCGAUAUUCAGUGCGGAGAAGUCAAAAUGAGAAUAACCGUGAAGCGACAGUUUUUCCAAGACAGAGGUGUUCCGUUCAAACCCGAGUAUCUUCGACUCGGAGGAAACCUGACUCGGAAAGAGUCCUGCGGACCGAAGGGACCGCUGUCUGACGGGGAAAUGGUCAUUUCUGCCGGGCUGCAGGAAUGUGGUACCGAGUCCAGUGUUCAUGGUGAGUGGCUUGUGUAUUCCAACAAGCUGCACCUGCUUUCUGCUGUGCUUCAUACUUCUACAGGCAGUGCCAUAAUUAAAGGGGCAACUACCAUCAUACCUGUUGAGUGUCUCUAUAAGAGAAAGCAGAAAGUCACGAUGGGGCCGUUAUCCCCUACCUGGGUACCGUUGACAUCCACGAUCAAUGUCUUUGGCUUUCUGCGUUUCUCCCUACGUUUCAUGACAGGUGAAACUACCAUGCUGCUGAAUCUGAACUGCAUCAGUGGGAGAUUCCUCUGUAAUAUUGUUUCUAACUGGAGUACUUAUUCAACUGGUACUGAAAAAUCUAUGUCUGUCUGUUCCUACUCAGACGGUUGCACCUCUCGGCGUAGUCCCUUAGUGUACCAGCAGGGGGAAGCAGUGUUUUUGGAGGCCAGCGUGGACGCCCCACUACAUCCUCCUCUCACUAUAUAUGUCGACUCUUGUGUGGCUACACUGAAGCCUGACCCUCUCUCCUUGCCAAGCUACAAGUUUCUCACCAAGCAUGGAUGUCUUGUGGACAGUUUACUACCAGGCUCUCCAUCUAAAUUCCUCCCAAGGGAACAAAACAACAGACUGUGCUUCAGCUUCCAAGCCUUCCAGUUCAACCAGAAGUCAGGGGAGCAGAUGUUCAUCAGCUGCCAUCUUAGGGCCACUCUGACACAAAACUCACAUACCCACCUCGAUAAAGCCUGCUUCUUCCAUAGACCUUCAUUCAGCUGGCGUGCCACAGAGGGAGACAGUUCUCUGUGUGAGUGCUGUGACUCUGUUGACUGCUCUGGAAUGACUGCAGAGAACAGCAGUGACCACGCUGGACCCACAACUCAACCAGAGACAGAAAAGAAGCUUGAUGCUUACAAGACAGUUGGGCCACUUUACACCCUGAAACGCUCCCUGUGGGGGGGCCGUCUGGUAGUGAGUCACUAAAGAGCCCUUCUCCAACUUUACAGUUAGGUUUCCCAGAGACUAUGGGUUGAGGAGGAAUUGGAAGUUUAGUCGGCUUAGACCUGGUGUCAUUCCAUCAGUGUUAAACUUCCCAGCUCAUCUUGGAAGAGUACGUGCCAGAAAGACCACGACCAAGUAGCCUUGAGAUCUUAGCAGCGUCUCCCUGAGACCAAAGAACUACAGACUCUUCACAACCUGCUCAAACUCUUGGUACAGGACCUCACCACACGAGUCAAGAAGGUUUCCUUCUCCUCAUUUCUACUCUGAAGCUCACCUUCUCCUGCUCAAACUGCUGACAAAUGUUUCUGCUGCUCUAAAGUCUGGUCCCCAGAACUUCCUAAAAACUCUCAAAGUCUCUUCUGCUGCAGGUUGCUUUGUAGAACUGUUCCAGAAAACCUCACUAAACCACAUGGAGGGGCCUCAAGAUAGUCGUCCAAAUGAAACUGUACAAAAACCAAACUAGCACAACCCAAACGCUAAAGUCUCCUGCAGCCUACCAGAGAACCUCUGAGAACAGAGAAUCAGGACAGGAACUCUUACCUUCUGGACAACCAACACUGGUUCUCAAACAAGAAUACAGAAUGUGUCUGACCAAAAACCUCUGAAGACUCACUACAGCCAAGAUAAAGACACAACUCAGCUGCAGCAAAUCCACUAAUCACUGCACACAUUAGCACCAUGUGCUAACUGUGGCUAAAGAACCACAUUCACCAAGACAACUAUCCAGUACAAAGCCCUAAAACACACCAAGAAACACAUUAAAGACGAUUUUACUGUUGGAAGCUGGAAGCAAAUGCCUAAAGAACAAACUAAAGCAAUGGAGCCAAACCAGGUUCAUUGGUGAACAGAAGCAGAGGAAAUGUUUGUCUGCAGCUAAAUAAAGCAGGAAGACACUGAGCUGCUCAGGUGUUCCUGAUAACACCAAGCUGCUCAGGUGUUCCUGAUAACACCAAGCAGCCACCUGGACAGCCAAUAGGAACACAGCUUACUGGAAGUCCAGAGGGCGGGGUUAGUGAAGGAAAUUUACUUUAAAGUUGAAGCAGAAAGUUAACAAAGUAAGUUGAAAACCACCUUCUGAUCCCUGAAAUCUCUGAGUUUUCACACAAAGAACACCUGAACAUGUCAAACUGGCUUCAUAGUAGAACCAUCAUUGUAAAAACGUCAUAGUAUGGUGUGUUGCUCAAAAAACAUUAGGACCCAGCUGUCAGGGGACAAACAUGUAAGAAACAUGAGAACAGAGAGAAUCCAACCAGUAGGUCACAGUUUAUCAUCCCCCAGUCAUCUCCUGAAGUCCAUAUGGUGAGAGACAUCAGUAUCUGGUUGUUAAUUUACCAGAGGAUGCUUAUAAUCAUGCUGAUGUGGUCUGUACUCUACAGUAUUUUACUGACUCAAUAAAUGCCUAAGUUGUUUUUAAAAAUGCUUUUUAGUUUAGUUUUUAGUUUAACAGCCUAUAUGUAAUCAAUAAAUGGCCUUUGCCUAUCUUAAGAAAAAUUCACUCAGAACUCUGAUAUGUUAACAGUACUAAAUAAAUCAAUAAAUACAUGCAUACACACAAAAAUAAGUUAAUACAUUAACUGUGUUAAGAUUUAGAUUUAGAUUUUUAAAAAAAAGUUGUUUAUGUUUUUGCAGAAUCCAGUAUUGCUCACUGGUUGGUCAUUACAUUUUAUUAGUUUGAUUUCACUGUUUAAAAUGAUGCCGCCGCUUUUCAGACAGAACCUGUGAUAAUAAAACAAUACAACAUUUUUAGUUCCGUGUUAAUAAAGCACUUAAAGCUUUAAGUAUGGCUAAAUGCUUUUUUCAAAAUUAAAUAUAUCACUCCUUAGGUGGUAGUGGCCCCAAGUUCAGUAAAGUUGGAAAGAUAUUCACAGAUUCGGACUUCCAGCAUCAAUAACUCAUUAGAUAUAGGUUGUCAAAACAUAAACGGUGCCUCUUUCCCAUUGUUGCAAGGCAGACAAUGUGCUACAAGUCCAGUUUUAUCAAAAGUAGCUGUCUUUCAAGCUACAGGAAUAACAUUGGUGUCUAUGGAGUGAACAGGGUCCGUCUGCAAUUUGCAGAACCUCUGCAACAGUAAAGAGAGACAAAUAUUCAAUAACUUCACUCUUAUACAUUGUAGUGUCACUAAAAUCACUGCAGCCUUCAACUGGCUCCUGUUGACAAAGUGUUUUAACAUAAAUGUAAAUGCUGUAAUUUGAUUCUUUUAAUGAACCAUGUAACUUGAAUGGAUGUGAUGCUGGUGUGACCACAGUGCACACGUCUGAUGUUGCUCACAGUGGUCCAAGGAAACGCUCAGGGAGUUUGUGUGUUUGCUCACACUCAGGAAAAAUUACAGGGAACAUUGAUUGGGAAAGAUUCUUAAUCUAGGUUGGGGAAAAAAAGUCUCUUUCCAUUCAUCUGCACAAGUUGCAAAAGGAGUGUUCUGUACUGUGGUGCACUGGUUUAAAAUCAUGUUAUUUUUUAGGUGGUUGAAUACUUUACUCAUCAUCCAAAUGACUGAAUUCAGUGAGGGAGAAACUCCAGGGAUGAGGUUCCUGUCUAAACUUGUGGCCGUUACUAUGGGAUCACAAUAGGUUGAAUAAAAUUAGAAGAUUCUUAUCAGUGUGGAUGCCUGUAUGCUGAAACAAUAACUUCCGACCUCGCCAGUGGCCGCUGUCUUGGCUCCUGCCUCGGCUCCUACGUCCCUCGCAGUCGGUUCCCCCAUUCUUUUAUGUCAGCUUCCUGUCUUGUGUCGCGCCAGAGUAGAUCUAGCUGGCUGCAAGCCCAAAACCUGAAUGGCAAAGUGAAACACACACACACGCACGCACGCACACACACACACACACACACACACACACACACACACACACACACACACACACACACACACACACACACACACACACACACACACACACACACACACACACACACACACACACACACACACACACAGGGAAUGUCACAGCUAUGCGCUUUCACUGCCUCUUAUAUAGCACAAUGCAGCCUCUUUCCCGUUAUCUUGUUUGCAUCACCCCGUGUCAUCUUUGUUUAUUAACUAGUUCAUGUGUAAGUGAGGAACAGGUAAAGUGCACUUGGCUUCUCCCCCAUCUUUAUAUCUCCCUGCCUCCUUUAAAUCAUCCUAAAUUCAAUAACUGUGUCCUAUUCCAAACCCGGAGUCAGUGUGACUGGACACCCCUGCCCCCGCAUUCCCUCACAUCCCUCACCUCCCACCUCAAUGCUGUGCUUUGGUCAUGAAGCAUGGUUUGCAGCACGUACCUUGUCUCCCUCCACUCUGUCUCUCAUGUUGGCUCAGACAUAAGCAAACAGCCCUUUGAGCAAACAGUGCAACAAUGCUGUCAACACUGUCUUUGGCUCAGCACAGUGGUGACCAUGUAGCUUUAAAGCUGAGUCACAUGAAGUCCAGGAUCAGAGAUAUAAAUAUAAACUUAGGAGAGAAUACGUAGAAAGUUACUCUCACUUAUGAAUAUUUUAUACGUAUUUAAACACAUGAAAGACAAUGUAAUCAAUUAAUGUUAAAUGCAGUAUUUCUUCAAGCUAUGGCAUGAAAUUUGGGAUAUUUUGACAGGAAAUAAGGUAUAAAUCCAGAAAUACUGUUGUUGCUCUUGUUCACAAGUAAAGGAAUUAUUGGAAAUACUCACACGGUAUAUCCCUUUUUCUGUAUUGUUGAUAUUCACAUCAGGAGAAAAUCCUUUUUGUGUUUCAAGUAUUUCAUAUAUUUUCUCCUUUAAAUCAUUUUAUCUCUUAACCCUUGUGUUGUCCUGCGGGUCAAAAUUGACCCGUUUUAAAGUUUGAAAAUGUGGGAAAAAAAAUAUAUUUUCACAGUGAAACUUCUGAUGUGCACAUUUUGAACAUUUUUGGGAAAUCUUUGAACAUUUUUUGGUGGAAAAAAAAGAAAUGUUAAAAAUGUUUCUUAAGAACAUUCACAAAAAAAUCAACCAAAAAUCAACCAAAAAAAAAAAAAAAAUCCAGCAAAUUUCACUGGAUUUUGGUUGAUUUUCACGUGAAUGUUCUUAAAGAAAAUAUUAGAAAUUUUACUGAUAUAUAUGUAAUCACUUGAGAUAUUUUUAGGAUUUUUUUUCUGAAGAUUUUUACAGAUUUUUUGAAAAUAUUUACUAGAAUUUUCUUGCCAAAUUUGGGGUAUUUUUUUUUAAAAAAAAUAAUACUUUUAAGGGAAACUUAAGAAAUUAUUGGAAUUUUCUUCCUUAAGGUUUUGCAAAUUUUCAGAAAUUUGGGGAAUCUUUUUGCUGAAUUUUGGGAUUUUUUUCAGACAAGGAAACAAUAUUUUUUUGGUGCCUGUAAAUGAAGACAACAGGAGGGUUAAUGCAUUUGUGCACGUGUGUUUUGUGCCAUACAUGCAGCGUAUACAGGCUUAUGAAACAGCAUGCAGCAAUCAUGUCAGCUUGGUCACUUUUAUCAGCGUUUCAAGGCAUUUCUGCAAAUAAAGCUGCGUGUGUCACUUUACAUUGCGUGCUGGCACAUGAUAAUGCACAUGCAAACAUGCCUUUACUUCUCAUCUGAUGGAAGACACCCCUCGAAGAAAUUUCCUGGAAGUCCUCUCUGUGUGUCACACUGUCGGUUUCCAGGAAAUUUCAAUAUAUUUCCUUUACUCUGGCUCCAAACAGGCUGUCGGGGUUCAGGGUGAAGGGAAAUUAAUGCCUCUGCUUGAUGUACAGAAAAUAAUUGCAGUCUAGUCUGUUUAACACAUCUGCUCUGAUCUCAUGAAUAUCCCUAACUGCAUCGCACUAAUUUACUUAUAAAAUAUUGCUAACUUUUCAUGGAAUUGUAUACAGCAUUCAUAAUUCUGAAAAUUAAUUAUUGUACAAAGUAAAAAAUGUAUUCUGGCUC